GAUCGCUAUGAGGACUUCAUAAAAUUCAAGCUCAACAGACCGGAAUGCAGGUUUCUCUUUAUAAGAGAUUCAUGCGUGUCGAUUACCUCAUGAACUGAGCGAUC